rnacentral:rRNA from 1 species
CAGGCCUAACGCAUGCAAGUCGAGCGGCAGCGACAGCAUUGACUCUUCGGAGGAUAUGUUGGGCGGCGAGCGGCGGACGGUGAGUAAUGGCUGGGAACCUGCCCUGACGUGGGGGAUAACAGUUGGAAACGACUGCUAAUGCCGCAUGAUGUUUUCGGACCAAAGAGGAGGACCUUCGGGCUUCUCGUGUCGGGAUGGGCCCAGUUGGGAUUAGCUAGUUGGUGAGGUAAUGGCUCACCAAGGCGACGAUCCCUAGCUGGUUUGAGAGGAUGAUCAGCCACACUGGAACUGAGUACACGGUCCAGACUCCUACGGGAGGCAACAGUGGGGAAUAUUGCACAAUGGGCGCAAGCCUGAUGCAGCCAUGCCGCGUGUGUGAAGAAGGCCUUCGGGUUGUAAAGCACUUUCAGCAGUGAGGAAGGCGUAGUGGUUAAUACCCAUCGCGUUUGACUGUUAGCUGCAUGAAGAAGCGCCGGCUAACUCCGUGCCUAGCAGCCGCGGUAAUGCGGAGGGUGCGAGCGUUAAUCGGA